rnacentral:rRNA from 1 species
UGCGUAGGUGGCUUGGUAAGUUCGAUGUGAAAUCUCCGGGCUUAACCCGGAAAUGGCAUUGAAUACUAUUGAGCUGGAGGUUUGGAGGGGGGACGUGGAAUUCUCGGUGUAGCAGUGAAAUGCGUAGAUAUCGAGAGGAACACCAGUGGCGAAGGCGAGUCCCUGGACAACACCUGACACUGAGGCACGAAAGCUAGGGGAGCAAACA